AUGAACGCUGGCGGCGUGCCUAAUACAUGCAAGUCGAGCGAACGGACGAGAAGCUUGCUUCUCUGAUGUUAGCGGCGGACGGGUGAGUAACACGUGGAUAACCUACCUAUAAGACUGGGAUAACUUCGGGAAACCGGAGCUAAUACCGGAUAAUAUUUUGAACCGCAUGGUUCAAAAGUGAAAGACGGUCUUGCUGUCACUUAUAGAUGGAUCCGCGCUGCAUUAGCUAGUUGGUAAGGUAACGGCUUACCAAGGCAACGAUGCAUAGCCGACCUGAGAGGGUGAUCGGCCAGACUGGAACUGAGACACGGUCCAGACUCCUACGGGAGGCAGCAGUAGGGAAUCUUCCGCAAUGGGCGAAAGCCUGACGGAGCAACGCCGCGUGAGUGAUGAAGGUCUUCGGAUCGUAAAACUCUGUUAUUAGGGAAGAACAUAUGUGUAAGUAACUGUGCACAUCUUGACGGUACCUAAUCAGAAAGCCACGGCUAACUACGUG
rnacentral:rRNA from 1 species